AGAGGCAGAAAGGUUUUCAUUUUUCAAUGGAGUCACCCAGAGCCUAUACUUGGAGGUAGCUUUAUGAGGCGUAAUCUUACUUCAAAGCUCAGCCACCAAGAUUUGGAAAAACUGAUGAGAAAAAGACUGUGUGGGGAACUCAUGGAACGCUGAGAAACAAGGAUACAUCAAACUUUACAAGGGAUUAUGAAACCUGAGCUUCUGUUCUUCACAAGUGUGUCCAAACUGAUCUACCCUGAUCUACAAACAUGAAUUAUCUAACAAGCUGGUCUUCAUAAGGAUACGUAUAAAGUAUACAUACAUGAAGAUCAUCUUGUGAAUGACAUAAAGGCAGCAUGCAAUUAGUGAAUUUCUCUUAUGUUAAUAAUAAUUCAGGAUGAGAUUAUCUAACAAGUGGAAAAAAAUGAUAUUCCUACAGGUUAAGUAUUUUUUGUGGAAAUGAAAAAUAAAUUCAAAGAACAGUGUGCUUUAGUAGUGACUCUCAAGAUAGUUUUCCAAAAGUAGCCAUUUGGUAGUAGUACGUGAAUGGAAGGCAUAAUGAAAAUACAAACAGGGAUUAAAACGUACAAUACCCACUGGAAGCUUGGCAAGCAUUCUGCUGCUAUUCUAUAGGUAAAUCUGAAACACUGUGACAGCUGUAGAAUGAAUCAGGGAUCCAACCCUGGCAAUGAAGGUGGGAAAUCUGAUGGGUUCUGUGUUUAUAACCUCAAAAGGAAAUAUACCAUGCAAAACAAGAAAACAUCAAACAAGCCAACAGGCUUUUUGACUGACUCCUAUUCAGGUUCUUGUUUAUUGGAUAGGAAUGGAAAAUGAGUAAGACACUCCCAUCCAAGACUCAUGCAUGUCCUCGUACUGAUGAGUAUUUUACAGAUCAGCUGUAAAGAACUCUACAGUUACAACUUGAUGGUUUCAACUGAUUUUUAUUUUUUUUAUUUUUUAUUUUUUUUGGAUGAUAGGGGCGAUUACAAACUAAGAAGAGUAAAUAACAUGUCAUUUAGGAAUGAAAAAAAAUGCUGGUUUGUUAUCCGUUUAUCAGUAAGAGACAAAUACGUUUGGGGAGCUUUACCUUUUCCUGUACUUAUAACAAUCACAAAUGCAAAGUAUUUCCUGCCAUACUCAUUUAGACUCUAGCAGUGUUUUUUUUGUUUUGUUUUGAAAACACACAUAAAUGUAUAUUCCUGAUAGUAAACAGAAAGCAGUGAAAAAGUGAAUUUUGCAGUGUGUUAUGGGAAUACCAUGCUUUAGAAAAAGCUUGCCAAUCUAUGGCAUG